rnacentral:rRNA from 1 species
AUUGAACGCUGGCGGAAUGCUUUACACAUGCAAGUCGAACGGUAGAGGGGGCAACCCCUUGAGAGUGGCGAACGGGUGAGUAAUAUAUCGGAACGUGCCCAGUCGUGGGGGAUAACGCAGCGAAAGCUGUGCUAAUACCGCAUACGAUCUACGGAUGAAAGCGGGGGAUCGCAAGACCUCGCGCGAUUGGAGCGGCCGAUAUCAGAUUAGGUAGUUGGUGGGGUAAAAGGCUCACCAAGCCAACGAUCUGUAGCUGGUCUGAGAGGACGACCAGCCACACUGGAACUGAGACACGGUCCAGACUCCUACGGGAGGCAGCAGUGGGGGAAUUUUGGACAAUGGACGCAAGUCUGAUCCAGCCAUUCCGCGUGCAGGAUGAAGGCCCUCGGGUUGUAAACUGCUUUUGUACGGAACGAAAAGGUUUCUAUUAAUACUAGGAGCUCAUGACGGUACCGUAAAGAAUAAAGCACCGGCUAACUACGUG